rnacentral:rRNA from 1 species
GAUGAACGCUGACAGAAUGCUUAACACAUGCAAGUCAACUUGAAUUUGGGUUUUUAACUUAGGUUUGGGUGGCGGACGGGUGAGUAACGCGUAAAGAACUUGCCUCACAGCUAGGGACAACAUUUGGAAACGAAUGCUAAUACCUAAUAUUAUGAUAAUAGGGCAUCCUAUAAUUAUGAAAGCUUUAAGCGCUGUGAGAGAGCUUUGCGUCCCAUUAGCUAGUUGGAGAGGUAACGGCUCACCAAGGCGAUGAUGGGUAGCCGGCCUGGGAGGGUGAUCGGCCACAAGGGGACUGAGACACGCCCCUUACCGCUACGGGAGGCAGCAGGGGGGAAUAUUGGACAAUGGACCGAGAGUCUGAUCCAGCAAUUCUGUGUGCACGAUGAAGUUUUUCGGAAUGUAAAGUGCUUUCAGUUGGGAAGAAACAAAUGACGGUACCAACAGAAGAAGUGACGGCUAAAUACGUG